GACGUAGGGGGCAAGCGUUAUUCGGAAUUAUUGGGCGUAAAGCGCUCGUAGGCGGGACUGGAAGUCCGUGUUGAAAGACCUCGGCUCAACUGAGGGACCGGCUCGGAUACUCUAGUUCUUGAGGCAAUCAGGGGGUGAUGGAAUUCCGCGUGUAGCAGUGAAAUGCGUAGAUAUGCGGAGGAACACCGAUGGCGAAGGCAGUCCCCUGGACCUGUACUGACGCUCAUGCACGAAAGCGUGGGGAGCAAACAGG
rnacentral:rRNA from 1 species